UAGUCAGACUGCCUUUGCCUUGUUUGGCCUC
rnacentral:piRNA from 1 species